GGGGAAGUGCUGGAAUUGGCAGACAGGCGUGACUUAGGAUCACGUGCAGCAAUGCGUGAGGGUUCGACCCCCUCCUUCCCCACCA
rnacentral:tRNA from 1 species